UUUUAUGGAGAGUUUGAUCCUGGCUCAGAGUGAACGCUGGCGGCGUGCCUAAUACAUGCAAGUCGAACGAUGAAGCUUCUAGCUUGCUAGAAUGCUGAUUAGUGGCGCACGGGUGAGUAACGCAUAGGUCAUGUGCCUCUUAGUUUGGGAUAGCCAUUGGAAACGAUGAUUAAUACCAGAUACUCCCUACGGGGGAAAGAUUUAUCGCUAAGAGAUCAGCCUAUGUCCUAUCAGCUUGUUGGUAAGGUAAUGGCUUACCAAGGCUAUGACGGGUAUCCGGCCUGAGAGGGUGAACGGACACACUGGAACUGAGACACGGUCCAGACUCCUACGGGAGGCAGCAGUAAGAGCGCGUAGGCGGGAUAGUCAGUCAGGUGUGAAAUCCUAUGGCUUAACCAUAGAACUGCAUUUGAAACUACUAUUCUAGAGUGUGGGAGAGGUAGGUGGAAUUCUUGGUGUAGGGGUAAAAUCCGUAGAGAUCAAGAGGAAUACUCAUUGCGAAGGCGACCUGCUGGAACAUUACUGACGCUGAUUGCGCGAAAGCGUGGGGAGCAAACAGGAUUAGAUACCCUGGUAGUCCACGCCCUAAACGAUGGAUGCUAGUUGUUGGAGGGCUUAGUCUCUCCAGUAAUGCAGCUAACGCAUUAAGCAUCCCGCCUGGGGAGUACGGUCGCAAGAUUAAAACUCAAAGGAAUAGACGGGGACCCGCACAAGCGGUGGAGCAUGUGGUUUAAUUCGAAGAUACACGAAGAACCUUACCUAGGCUUGACAUUGAGAGAAUCCGCUAGAAAUAGUGGAAUGUCUAGCUUGCUAGACCUUGAAAACAGGUGCUGCACGGCUGUCGUCAGCUCGUGUCGUGAGAUGUUGGGUUAAGUCCCGCAACGAGCGCAACCCCCUUUCUUAGUUGCUAACAGGUCAUGCUGAGAACUCUAAGGAUACUGCCUCCGUAAGGAGGAGGAAGGUGGGGACGACGUCAAGUCAUCAUGGCCCUUACGCCUAGGGCUACACACGUGCUACAAUGGGGUGCACAAAGAGAAGCAAUACUGCGAAGUGGAGCCAAUCUUCAAAACGCCUCUCAGUUCGGAUUGUAGGCUGCAACUCGCCUGCAUGAAGCUGGAAUCGCUAGUAAUCGCAAAUCAGCCAUGUUGCGGUGAAUACGUUCCCGGGUCUUGUACUCACCGCCCGUCACACCAUGGGAGUUGUGUUUGCCUUAAGUCAGGAUGCUAAAUUGGCUACUGCCCACGGCACACACAGCGACUGGGGUGAAGUCGUAACAAGGUAACCGUAGGUGAACCUGCGGUUGGAUCACCUCCUUUCUAGA
rnacentral:rRNA from 1 species